AACGAACGCUGGCGGCAUGCCUAACACAUGCAAGUCGAACGAGACCUUCGGGUCUAGUGGCGCACGGGUGCGUAACGCGUGGGAACCUGCCCUUAGGUUCGGAAUAACUCCCCGAAAGGGGUGCUAAUACCGGAUAAUGUCUUCGGACCAAAGAUUUAUCGCCUUUGGAUGGGCCCGCGUUGGAUUAGCUAGUUGGUAGGGUAAAAGCCUACCAAGGCGACGAUCCAUAGCUGGUCUGAGAGGAUGAUCAGCCACACUGGGACUGAGACACGGCCCAGACCCCUACGGGGGGCAGGGGUGGGGAAUUUUGGAAAAGGGGCGAAAGCCUAAUCCAGCAAUGCCGGGUGAGGGAUGAAGGCCUUAGGGUUGUAAAGCUCUUUUACCCGGGAUGAUAAUGACAGUACCGGGAGAAUAAGCCCCGGCUAACUCCGU
rnacentral:rRNA from 1 species